rnacentral:rRNA from 1 species
AUGGAGGUGAGGAAAGAUUUGAAUGUAUCUUGUCUACACGAUGAUGACUCAUGGCAGCUAUUCCAGGAUAAGGUCGGCCACAAAACUCUUUUUUAUAGUCCUCGCAUUGAAGCUCUUGCAAGAGAACUUGUGAAAGAAAUGAAAGGCUUGCCAUUAGCUUUGAUAACUGUUGGAAAGACAAUGUAUGGUAAAACUGAUAUGGCUGAGUGGGAAUAUGCUAUCCAACAUAUGAGACGGUCAUGUUGUGAUAACAAUGACCCCCUGGAUAUGGAAAGAAUUGUUUUUAGCCAGAUCAAGUUUAGUUUUGAUAGUUUGCGAAACAAUACUUUGAGGAAAUGUUUCUUGAGUUGUGCAUUGUGGCCAGAGGAUCAACAUAUUGACAAAGUCGAGCUCGCUCGAUGCUGGAUUGGCUUGGGUCUAGUGCAUGAGUCAGAUAUACAAAGUUCCUACACAAAAUCAUAUAGUCUGAUGGGUGACCUUACAGCUGCAUGUUUGUUAGAUGGUUGUGGAGAAAUGUAUGAUUCUUUUAAAAUGCAUGAUGUGGUCCGUGACAUGGCUUUAUGGAUCUCUUGUGGCUGCAAUGAGAAAAAUGGCAAGUGGUUUGUCCGUGCGGGUAUUGGCCAGCAUGAAACAUUUAGCAUCCCUUGGAGCCAAGUUGAAUCUGUCUCCUUGAUGUGGAACUAUGCAUUAAAACUUCCUCCAGUUGGCUCUAAUCCAUGCCACACAAGGAUGUUAUGCCUUGGAAAUAACAAGUUGCAUGAAAGCAUAUUAGUUGAAGAAAUCAAUAAAUUUACUUCACUGACAUAUCUGGAUUUGCGCUUCAACAAUCUCAAAGGAAUACCUGAAGAGUUAUGUUCCCUAACAAACUUGGAACACCUUGACUUGUCGCAUAAUAUUGAUAUAAAUGAAGUGCCUUACUGCUUUGGAAACCUAAUUAAGCUCAAGUUCUUGUACCUAGAAUGGACUAGCAUACAAAGGAUACCGGAGGGGGUCAUAUCUAGGCUUCAAUCAUUACAAGUAAUAGACUUCAACACUUUUUAUCCACGUCGAGUUUCGAAGGACCUUCUGUCUAGAAUGCUUCUAGAGUUGGGAACCCUACCCCACUUGAAAGCAGUUGGUAUCAUUGCCAUGUGUUUUUCUCAGUAUAAAUUAUUACGAGAGAGUGAAAACCUCCCCAUCAGGUCUUUAACUCUGCGGAGACUCGAGACACGUGCACUCUACUUCUCUGAUAUUCUAUCACAUGACUUUGCACCAAGGACCUUGUAUGAACUGCUAAUUGACAUGUGUGUCAUGGAGGAAAUAAUGCUUGGACACGAGUUGGCACGACCAAACUGCUGUUUUGGUACUCUCAAUCAGCUCAGUUUUUUAGAUUUGUCAAACUUGAGAGGGAUAACUUGGAUGGAAACAUCUCCGGCAUCUUUAUUUCCAAGGCUCACUUGUUUGGAGGUGUAUUCCUGCGGAAAGCUACAUCAACUCUCCUGGGCGAUGCAUCUGCCAUGCCUCGAACAAGUGGUAAUAUAUGAUUGUUCUUCGAUGCGGCAAGCGUUUAUGAGGCGCCAUGGUGAUAACCAGUGCAGCGUACAAGACAGUUCGAAGACAUUUCCAUGCCUCAAGUAUCUAAAAUUUCUGAGGUGUGAAUCACUGGUCGGUAUUGGGGAUCCUGACGUGACAUUUCCAUCCCUAGAGCGACUGGUGCUUCAUCAUUGUCCGGAAUUGAAUAGGCUUCCUUUCAAGACGGACAACUUACCACGAAAACUGCAGGAACUACAGAUUGAUGUUGGAUCCUGGGAGAGAUUGGAAUUGGAAGAAGGUGUCAAACCUUUCCUGCAACCCAGGCUUAAAUUAGAAAAAUAG